UCCCAGGUGGCUCAGUGGUAAAGAAUCUGCCUGCCAAUGCAGAAGGCUUGGGUUUGAUUCCUGGUCUGGGAA
rfam:TPA: Bos taurus chromosome 8, whole genome shotgun sequence.